GCAGUUGUAGUUUAAAUGGUAAAACAUUCAUCUUAAUCCAUUGCAAAUGGUUUAAGUUUAGAAUUAUAAAAACAAAGUGAAAGUCGUGAGUUCAACUCUCACCAACUGCA
rfam:Entamoeba histolytica HM-1:IMSS scf_1104750517201 genomic scaffold, whole genome shotgun sequence.